UUGAACGCUGGCGGCAUGCUUUACACAUGCAAGUCGAACGGCAGCGGGGGCUUCGGCCUGCCGGCGAGUGGCGAACGGGUGAGUAAUGCAUCGGAACGUGCCCAGUCAUGGGGGAUAACUACGCGAAAGCGUAGCUAAUACCGCAUACGCCCUGAGGGGGAAAGCGGGGGACCGUAAGGCCUCGCGCGAUUGGAGCGGCCGAUGUUCGAUUAGCUAGUUGGUGGGGUAAAGGCCUACCAAGGCGACGAUCGAUAGCUGGUCUGAGAGGACGACCAGCCACACUGGAACUGAGACACGGUCCAGACUCCUACGGGAGGCAGCAGUGGGGAAUUUUGGACAAUGGGCGCAAGCCUGAUCCAGCCAUUCCGCGUGAGUGAAGAAGGCCUUCGGGUUGUAAAGCUCUUUCGGCAGGGAAGAAACGGUUUUGGCUAAUAUCCAGAGCUAAUGACGGUACCUGAAGAAGAAGCACCGGCUAACUACGU
rnacentral:rRNA from 1 species